rnacentral:rRNA from 1 species
CCCAGACUCCUACGGGAGGCAGCAGUGAGGAAUAUUGGUCAAUGGCCGGAAGGCUGAACCAGCCAAGCCGCGUGAAGGACGAAGGUGCCAAGCAUUGUAAACUUCUUUUGUCAAGGGACAAAAUCAGGCUCGAGAGCCUGACCGAGGGUACUUGAAGAAAAAGCAUCGGCUAACUCCGUGCCAGCAGCCGCGGUAAUACGGAGGAUGCGAGCGUUAUCCGGAUUUAUUGGGUUUAAAGGGUCCGUAGGCGGGCUGUAAACUGGGGGAAAAAGGCCGGGGGCCAAACCCCGGCGAGCCGUUGAAACUGGCUGUCUUGAGAUGUCGAGAGGUAUACGGAAUGCGCAGUGUAGCGGUGAAAUGCUUAGAUAUCACGAAGAACCCCGAUUGCGAAGGCAGCCUGCCGCAGCGUUACUGACGCUGAAGCUCGAAAGCGCGGGUAUCGAACAGGAUUAGAUACCCGAGUA